UAAUACGUAGGUGGCAAGCGUUAUCCGGAAUUAUUGGGCGUAAAGAGGGAGCAGGCGGUAACAAAGGUCUGUGGUGAAAGCCUGAAGCUUAACUUCAGUAAGCCAUAGAAACCAGGUAACUAGAGUGCAAGAGAGGAUCGUGGAAUUCCAUGUGUAGCGGUGAAAUGCGUAGAUAUAUGGAGGAACACCAGUGGCGAAGGCGACGAUCUGGCUUGUAACUGACGCUGAGUCCCGAAAGCGUGGGGAGCAAAUAGGAUUAGAUACCCUAGUAGUCCACGCCGUAAACGAUGAGUACUAAGUGUUGGGGGUCGAACCUCAGUGCUGCAGUUAACGCAAUAAGUACUCCGCCUGAGUAGUACGUUCGCAAGAAUGAAACUCAAAGGAAUUGACGGGGGCCCGCACAAGCGGUGGAGCAUGUGGUUUAAUUCGAAGCAACGCGAAGAACCUUACCAGGUCUUGACAUAUAUCUAAAGGCUCCAGAGAUGGAGAGAUAGUUAUAGAUAUACAGGUGGUGCAUGGUUGUCGUCAGCUCGUGUCGUGAGAUGUUGGGUUAAGUCCCGCAACGAGCGCAACCCUUGUCGUUAGUUACCAUCAUUAAGUUGGGGACUCUAACGAGACUGCCAGUGAUAAGCUGGAGGAAGGCGGGGAUGACGUCAAAUCAUCAUGCCCCUUAUGACCUGGGCUACACACGUGCUACAAUGGAUAGUGCAAAGGGAAGCGAGACCGCGAGGUGGAGCAAAACCCAUAAAACUAUUCUCAGUUCGGAUUGUAGUCUGCAACUCGACUACAUGAAGUUGGAAUCGCUAGUAAUCGUGAAUCAGCAUGUCACGGUGAAUACGUUCUCGGGCCUUGUACACACCGCCCGUCACACCAUGAGAGUUGAUAACACCCGAAGCCGGUGGCCUAACCGCAAGGAAGGAGCUGUCUAAGGUGGGAUUGAUGAUUAGGGUGAAGGCGUAACAAGGUAGAGCUCUCAGUCAGUCAAAUCACUAGUGAAUUCG
rnacentral:rRNA from 1 species